UCUCUGUGAUGAUGAAUUUUGAUGACGAGUCCGAUAACUAAUCCAUUCACCUUGACGACAAAUCGAGGCAUUUGUCUGAGAGUA